UACGGAGGGUGCAAGCGUUAUCCGGAUUUACUGGGCUUAAAGGGUUCGUAGGCGGCCAACUAAGUCGGAUGUGAAAUCCCCAGGCUCAACUUGGGAACUGCAUCCGAUACUGGAUGGCUUGAAUUCGGGAGAGGGAUGCAGAAUUCCAGGUGUAGCGGUGAAAUGCGUAGAUAUCUGGAGGAAUACCGGUGGCGAAGGCGGCAUCCUGGACCGACAUUGACGCUGAGGAGCGAAAGCUAGGGGAGCAAACGGG
rnacentral:rRNA from 1 species